AUUGUUGCAGAAAGCUUGGAGGGAACACCGAACCAAACGAAGGAUGUGUAGAAAAAGAAACGGUGACAAGACCUCCAUGUAUCCUGACAAAAUUCGUCGAGUAGAAAGUCUUUGGAGUGUUGAUGAUCGUGAUUUUAAGUACCUGGUGAAGGUUCAAAAACUUGGGGAAGGAGGGUUUGGCGAGGUCUCGCAAUAUUACUGCCGACAAACGCAGGCACAUUACGCAGUUAAAACCUUUUUCAAGAAGAAUGCUGAACAUGCCUCAAUGACAUUGAAAGAAACGCUCAUUCUCCUUCGCUUGGUUGGGAACUCCAGCAUAACUCUGUUAUGCCGGGCGUUUACC